rnacentral:rRNA from 1 species
GCUAGUAAUGGCAGGUCAGCAUACUGCCGUGAAUACGUUCCCGGGCCCUUGUACACACCGCCCGUCCACACCAUGAGAGUUGGGAAUACCCGAAGCCUGUGAGCUAACUUUUAGAGGCAGCAGUCGAAGGUAGAAUCAAUGAUUGGGGUGAAGUCGUAACAAGGUACC